GAACUGCGAUAAGUAAUGUGAAUUACAGAAUUCAGUGAAUCAUCGAGUCUUUGAACGCACAUUGCGCCCCCUGGCAUUCCGGGGGGCAUGCCUGUCCGAGCGUCAUUGCUGCCCUUCAAGCCCGGCUUGUGUGUUGGGUCGUCGUCCCCUCCGGGGGACGGGCCCGAAAGGCAGCGGCGGCACCGCGUCCGGUCCUCGAGCGUAUGGGGCUUUGUCACCCGCUCGAUAAGGACCGGCCGGGCGCCAGCCGGCGUCUCCAACCUUUUUUUCUCAGGUUGACCUCGGAUCAGGUAGGGAUACCCGCUGAACUUAAGC
rnacentral:misc_RNA from 1 species